rnacentral:rRNA from 1 species
GUGGGGAAUAUUGGACAAUGGGCGAAAGCCUGAUCCAGCCAUGCCGCGUGUGUGAAGAAGGUCUUCGGAUUGUAAAGCACUUUAAGUUGGGAGGAAGGGCAGUAAGUUAAUACCUUGCUGUUUUGACGUUACCGACAGAAUAAGCACCGGCUAACUUCGUGCCAGCAGCCGCGGUAAUACGAAGGGUGCAAGCGUUAAUCGGAAUUACUGGACGUAAAGCGCGCGUAGGUGGUUUUGUAAGUUGGAGGUGAAAUCCCCGGGCUCAACCUGGGAACUGCAUCCAAAACUGCAUGACUAGAGUACGGUAGAGGGUAGUGGAAUUUCCUGUGUAGCGGUGAAAUGCGUAGAUAUAGGAAGGAACACCAGUGGCGAAGGCGACUACCUGGACUGAUACUGACACUGAGGUGCGAAAGCGUGGGGAGCAAACAGGAUUAGAUACCCUUGUAGUCC